rnacentral:rRNA from 1 species
GCUUGAGACAGGAGGCGAGUGGCGAACGGGUGAGUAAUACAUCGGAACAUGUCCUGUAGUGGGGGAUAGCCCGGCGAAAGCCGGAUUAAUACCGCAUACGAUCUACGGAUGAAAGCGGGGGACCUUCGGGCCUCGCGCUAUAGGGUUGGCCGAUGGCUGAUUAGCUAGUUGGUGGGGUAAAGGCCUACCAAGGCGACGAUCAGUAGCUGGUCUGAGAGGACGACCAGCCAAACUGGGACUGAGACACGGCCCAGACUCCUACGGGAGGCAGCAGUGGGGAAUUUUGGACAAUGGGCGAAAGCCUGAUCCAGCAAUGCCGCGUGUGUGAAGAAGGCCUUCGGGUUGUAAAGCACUUUUGUCCGGAAAGAAAUCCUUGGUUCUAAUAUAGCCGGGGGAUGACGGUACCGGAAGAAUAAGCACCGGCUAACUACGUGCCAGCAGCCGCGGUAAUACGUAGGGUGCGAGCGUUAAUCGGAAUUACUGGGCGUAAAGCGUGCGCAGGCGGUUUGUUAAGACCGAUGUGAAAUCCCCGGGCUCAACCUGGGAACUGCAUUGGUGACUGGCAAGCUAGAGUAUGGCAGAGGGGGGUAGAAUUCCACGUGUAGCAGUGAAAUGCGUAGAGAUGUGGAGGAAUACCGAUGGCGAAGGCAGCCCCCUGGGCCAAUACUGACGCUCAUGCACGAAAGCGUGGGGAGCAAACAGGAUUAGAUACCCUGGUAGUCCACGCCCUAAACGAUGUCAACUAGUUGUUGGGGAUUCAUUUCCUUAGUAACGUAGCUAACGCGUGAAGUUGACCGCCUGGGGAGUACGGUCGCAAGAUUAAAACUCAAAGGAAUUGACGGGACCCGCACAAGCGGUGGAUGAUGUGGAUUAAUUCGAUGCAACGCGAAAAACCUUACCUACCCUUGACAUGGUCGGAAUCCCGCUGAGAGGUGGGGAGUGCUCGAAAGAGAACGGCGCACAGGUGCCUGCAUGCUGUCGUCAGCUCGUGUCGUGAGA